rnacentral:rRNA from 1 species
AUUGAACGCUGGCGGCAGGCCUAACACAUGCAAGUCGAGCGGAUGAAGGGAGCUUGCUCCUGGAUUCAGCGGCGGACGGGUGAGUAAUGCCUAGAAAUCUGCCUGGUAGUGGGGGAUAACGUCCGGAAACGGGCGCUAAUACCGCAUACGUCCUGAGGGAGAAAGUGGGGGAUCUUCGGACCUCACGCUAUCAGAUGAGCCUAGGUCGGAUUAGCUAGUUGGUGGGGUAAAGGCCUACCAAGGCGACGAUCCGUAACUGGUCUGAGAGGAUGAUCAGUCACACUGGAACUGAGACACGGUCCAGACUCCUACGGGAGGCAGCAGUGGGGAAUAUUGGACGAUGGGCGAAAGCCUGAUCCAGCCAUGCCGCGUGUGUGAAGAAGGUCUUCGGAUUGUAAAGCACUUUAAGUUGGGAGGAAGGGCAGUAAGUUAAUACCUUGCUGUUUUGACGUUACCAACAGAAUAAGCACCGGCUAACUUCGUG